GGGAGAUUUCUUCCAGAGAGAGGAUAGAGUUAUUAAGUCUAAAGUCCAUUAUUUGCUUUUGUCCUUCAGGAAGAGAUGGUCCUGACUCUGGGUGGAUCUAACAAGGAUCCUGGAACUCCAGUUCUGCUUUUUGGAUUUACCGGGAACUUCCCAGUCCAGACGAUUGGAAUUACAGCAUUAUACUUUGACUGGUAUGAUCUUCUGCUUUCGGUAACCA